rnacentral:rRNA from 1 species
UACAGAGGGUGCGAGCGUUGUUCGGAAUUACUGGGCGUAAAGCGCACGUAGGCGGCUUGGUAUGUCGGGUGUGAAAUCCCCGGGCUCAACCUGGGAACUGCAUCCGAAACUGCCUUGCUAGAGUAUGGGAGAGGGAAGUGGAAUUUCCGGUGUAGCGGUGAAAUGCGUAGAUAUCGGAAGGAACAUCAGUGGCGAAGGCGACUUCCUGGACCAAUACUGACGCUCAGGUGCGAAAGCGUGGGGAGCAAACAGG